UACGUAGGGUGCAAGCGUUAAUCGGAAUUACUGGGCGUAAAGCGCGCGUAGGCGGCUUUGCAAGUCGGGUGUGAAAUCCCCAGGCUCAACCUGGGAAUUGCAUUCGAGACUGCGUAGCUAGGGUGCGGAAGAGGGAAGCGGAAUUUCCGGUGUAGCGGUGAAAUGCGUAGAUAUCGGAAGGAACACCAGUGGCGAAAGCGGCUCCCUGGGCCAGCACCGACGUUCAGGCACGAAAGCGUGGGGAGCAAACAGG
rnacentral:rRNA from 1 species